GCCAGUACCCUCAACACCACACAGUCCACCACAAUCUCCUCUAUAAUGUUGUGGUGGUGGUGGUGGUGGUGGUGCAGGCCAGUACCCUCAACACCACACAGUCCACCACAAUCUCCUCUAUAAUGUUGUGGUGGUGGUGGUGGCCAGUACCCUCAACACCACAAAGUCCACCACAAUCUCCUCUAUAAUGUUGUGGUGGUGGUGGUGGUGGUGGUGGCCAGUACCCUCAACACCACACAGUCCACCACAAUUUCCUCUAUAAUGUUGUGGUGAUGGUGGUGGUGGUGGUGCAGGCCAGUACCCUCAACACCACACAGUCCACCACAAUUUCCUCUAUAAUGUUGUGGUGGUGGUGGUGGCCAGUACCCUCAACACCACACAGUCCACCACAAUUUCCUCUAUAAUGUUGUGGUGGUGGUGGUGGUGGUGGUGCAGGCCAGUACCCUCAACACUACACAGUCCACCACAAUUUCCUC